rnacentral:rRNA from 1 species
GACGAACGCUGGCGGCGUGCCUAAUACAUGCAAGUCGAGCGGGUUUGUCCUUCGGGACAAGCUAGCGGCGGACGGGUGAGUAACACGUAGGCAACCUGCCUUUAAGACUGGGAUAACUAUCGGAAACGAUAGCUAAGACCGGAUAACUGGUUUUCUCGCAUGAGAGAAUUAUGAAACACGGAGCAAUCUGUGGCUUAAAGAUGGGCCUGCGGCGCAUUAGCUAGUUGGUGAGGUAACGGCUCACCAAGGCGACGAUGCGUAGCCGACCUGAGAGGGUGAACGGCCACACUGGGACUGAGACACGGCCCAGACUCCUACGGGAGGCAGCAGUAGGGAAUCUUCCGCAAUGGACGCAAGUCUGACGGAGCAACGCCGCGUGAGUGAUGAAGGUUUUCGGAUCGUAAAGCUCUGUUGCCCUAGACGAACAGCAAGGAGAGUAACUGCUCUUUGUGUGACGGUAUAGGAGAAGAAAGCCCCGGCUAACUACGUGCCAGCAGCCGCAGUAAAAC